rnacentral:rRNA from 1 species
ACCCGCUGAACUUAAGCAUAUCAAUAAGCGGAGGAAAAGAAACUAACAAGGAUUCCCCUAGUAACGGCGAGUGAAGCGAGAAGAGCUCAAAUUUGUAAUCUGGCACCUUCGGUGUCCGAGUUGUAAUCUCGAGAAGUGUUUUCCGCGCUGGACCGCAUACAAGUCUGUUGGAAUACAGCGUCAUAGUGGUGAGAACCCCGUACCUGAUGCGGAUGCCCGGUGCUUUGUGAUACACUUUCGAAGAGUCGAGUUGUUUGGGAAUGCAGCUCAAAUAGGGUGGUAAAUUCCAUCUAAAGCUAAAUAUUGGCGAGAGACCGAUAGCGAACAAGUACCGUGAGGGAAAGAUGAAAAGCACUUUGGAAAGAGAGUUAACAGUACGUGAAAUUGUUGGAAGGGAAACGCUUGAAGUCAGACUUGCUAUUCGGAAUUCAGCCGCAAGGUGUACUUUUCGAUUUGCAGGCCAGCAUCAGUUUUUGGGGAUGGAAAAGGGCCGGAGGAAGGUAGCAAUUUAGGUUGUGUUAUAGCCUUUGGCUGGAUUCAUCUUUGGGGACUGAGGAACGCAGCGCGCUUUUUGCAAGGCUCUCGAGCUUUUCGCGCUUAGGAUGCUGGUGGAAUGGCUUUAAACGACCCGUCUUGAAACACGG